CCCUUAGAUGUUCUGGGCCGCACGCGUGCUACACUGAGUGGAUCAGUGGGUCAGGUUACGCGAGAGCGUUUCCUAAUCUUCAAAUCCGCUCGUGAUGGGGAUUGACGGUUGCAAUUUUCCGUCAUGAACGAGGAAUACCUUGUAAGCGCGGGUCAUCAUCCCGCGCUGAAUACGUCCCUGCCCUUUGUACACACCGCCCGUCGCUCCUACCGAUUGAGUGGUCCGGUGAGGCUUUGGGAUCUAAGCGAAAAGAGCGUUUCGCUCCUUUUGCUGGGAGAACUCAGUCGAACCUUAUCAUUUAGAGGAAGGAGAAGUCGUAACA
rnacentral:rRNA from 1 species